rnacentral:rRNA from 1 species
CUGUGCGAUACGUAUACUACCAAGCUUUAGCGCGGAGGCUGGCUCACUAAGUCCUACAAGGUAACCAGUAUUGGAUCCUCUAACAGUUUGAGCCCCGCUCCAUAAGACUGGGAUAACUCCCGGAAACCGGGGCUAAUACCGGAUAACAUUUUGAACCGCAUGGUUCGAAAUUGAAAGGCGGCUUCGGCUGUCACUUAUGGAUGGACCCGCGUCGCAUUAUCUAGUUGGUGAGGUAACGGCUCACCAAGGCAACGAUGCGUAGCCCACCUGAGAGGGUGAUCGGCCACACUGGGACUGAGACACGGGCCAUACUCGUCUGGGGGCAACAGUACGGAAUAUUCCGCAAUGGACGAAAGGGUGACGGGGCAACGCCGCGUAUGUGAUGAAAGGUUUCGGCGUAAAACUCUGUUUUUGGGGAAGGUACCCGCCUCCCAAUGGUUAAACUUUCAAAGGGAAUUGUGCGGGGGGCCCCCCCCCAACCCGGUGGAGCAUGGUGGGUUCUAUUUCGGAAAGCAACGGGAAAACCCUUACCGGUCCUGGCCAUCUUUUGACAACCCAAGAAAUAGGGCUUUUCUUUGGGGAGAAGAGUGACAGGUGGUGCAUGGUGGUCUUCAGCUCGUGUCGUGAGAGGUGGGGUAAAGUCCGGCAAGGAGCGCAACCCUUGAUUUUAGUUGCCUUCAUUAAGUUGGGCACUUUAAGGGGACUGCCGGGGACAAACGGGAGGAAGGUGGGGAGGAGGUCAAAUCAUCAUGCCCCUUAUGACCUGGGCUACACACGUGUUACAAUGGAGGGUACAAAGAGCUGCAAGACCGGGAGGGGGAGUUAAUUUCAUAAAACCGUUUUCAGUUCGGAUUGUAGGCUGCAAUUGGCUUACAUGAAGCGGGAAUCGCUGGUAAUGGGGGAUCAGCAUGCCGCGGUGAAUACGUUACGGGGCAACAAGGAAACCGCUAUUGGAUCCACUAGAGUUUGAACCAGCUCAGGAA